UACGAAGGGGGCGAGCGUUGUUCGGAAUUACUGGGCGUAAAGGGCGCGUAGGCGGCCGAGCAAGUUAGAUGUGAAAGUCCUGGGCUUAACCUGGGGACUGCAUUUGAUACUGCUUGGCUUGAAUUCGGGAGAGGAUAGCGGAAUUCCCAGUGUAGAGGUGAAAUUCGUAGAUAUUGGGAAGAACACCGGUGGCGAAGGCGGCUAUCUGGACCGACAUUGACGCUGAGGCGCGAAAGCUAGGGUAGCAAACGGG
rnacentral:rRNA from 1 species